rnacentral:rRNA from 1 species
UAGUGGCGAACGGGUGAGUAACACGUGGGCAAUCUGCCCUUCACUCUGGGACAAGCCCUGGAAACGGGGUCUAAUACCGGAUAACACUCCUCAGGGCAUCUUGAGGGGUUAAAAGCUCCGGCGGUGAAGGAUGAGCCCGCGGCCUAUCAGCUUGUUGGUGGGGUGAUGGCCUACCAAGGCGACGACGGGUAGCCGGCCUGAGAGGGCGACCGGCCACACUGGGACUGAGACACGGCCCAGACUCCUACGGGAGGCAGCAGUGGGGAAUAUUGCACAAUGGGCGAAAGCCUGAUGCAGCGACGCCGCGUGAGGGAUGACGGCCUUCGGGUUGUAAACCUCUUUCAGCAGGGAAGAAGCGAAAGUGACGGUACCUGCAGAAGAAGCGCCGGCUAACUACGUGCCAGCAGCCGCGGUAAUACGUAGGGCGCAAGCGUUGUCCGGAAUUAUUGGGCGUAAAGAGCUCGUAGGCGGCUUGUCACGUCGGAUGUGAAAGCCCGGG